rfam:Archaeon GW2011_AR13 QT05_C0033, whole genome shotgun sequence.
AGCCCUGUAGUACAGCGGUCAAGUAUGCUGGCCUUUGAAGCCAGUGACCCCGGUUCGAAUCCGGGCAGGGCUA